rnacentral:rRNA from 1 species
UCGGAUUGGUAUAAGCCAUGCGAGUCGUUGUAGCAAUACAAGGCGGACGGCUCAGUAACACGUAGUCAACCUAACCUAUGGACGUGGAUAACCUCGGGAAACUGAGAAUAAACCGCGAUAGAUCAUUAUACCUGGAAUGGCUUAUGGUUCAAACAAUUUAUUGCCGUAGGAUGGGACUGCGGCCUAUCAGCUAGUUGGUGAGGUAAUGGCCCACCAAGGCUAUAACAGGUACGGGCUCUGAGAGGAGAAGCCCGGAGAUGGGUACUGAGACACGGACCCAGGCCCUAUGGGGCGCAGCAGGCGAGAAACCUUAGCAAUGUGCGAAAGCACGACUAGGUUAAUCCGAGUGAUUUCUGUUGAAGAAAUCUUUUGUCAGUCGUAAAACCACAGACGAAUAAGGGGUGGGCAAGUCUGGUGUCAGCCGCCGCGGUAAUACCAGCACCUCGAGUGGUCAGGAGGUUUAUUGGGCCUAAAGCAUCCGUAGCCGGCUUUGCAAGUCUNCGGGUUAAAUCCAGCUGCUUAACAGAUGGGCUGGCGGAGNNACUACACAGCUAGGGAGCGGGAGAGGCAGACGGUNUUCUNUGGNUAGGGGUAAAUCCACUGAUCCNUAGAGGACCCCAGUGGCNAAGGCGGUNUGCAGAACGCGUUC